rnacentral:piRNA from 2 species
CAGGAAAUGGGACUUACUGACUUAGUGAGC